rnacentral:rRNA from 1 species
GUCCACGCCGUAAACUAUGGAUGCUAGCUGUACACCGUAUCGACCCGGUGUGUAGCGAAGCUAACGCGUUAAGCAUCCCGCCUGUGGAGUACGAGCGCAAGCUUAAAACAUAAAGGAAUUGACGGGGACCCGCACAAGCGGUGGAGCGUGUUGUUUAAUUCGAUGGUAAGCGAAGAACCUUACCAAGGCUUGAAAUCCUGAGAAGCACUGCGAAAGCAGAGUGUGCCUUCGGGAACUCAGUGACAGGUGUUGCAUGGCCGUCGU